rnacentral:rRNA from 1 species
UACGUAGGUGGCAAGCGUUAUCCGGAAUUACUGGGCGUAAAGCGCACGUAGGCGGUCGGCUAAGUCUGACGUGAAAGCUCCUGGCUUAACUGGGAGAGGUCGUUGGAAACUGGCUGACUUGAGGCGAUGAGAGGGACGUAGAAUUCCCGGUGUAGUGGUGGAAUGCGUAGAUAUCGGGAGGAAUACCAGUGGCGAAAGCGGCGUCCUAGCAUCGGCCUGACGUUCAUGUGCGAAAGCGUGGGGAGCGAACGGG